rnacentral:rRNA from 1 species
CGGACGGGUGAGUAACGCGUGGAAAACCUGCCGUAUACUGGGGGAUAACACUUAGAAAUAGGUGCUAAUACCGCAUAAGCGCACAGCUUCGCAUGAAGCGGUGUGAAAAAACUCUGGUGGUAUACGAUGGUUCCGCGUCUGAUUAGCUAGUUGGUGGGGUAAUGGCCUACCAAGGCAGCGAUCAGUAGCCGGCCUGAGAGGGUGAACGGCCACAUUGGGACUGAGACACGGCCCAAACUCCUACGGGAGGCAGCAG